GAGCUCAGGGGGUCUUUAAGGCUCCUGUGUGACACAUCUGAGUUAGUCUCCUUGGGAUCAGGUUGAGACUGGCUGCAGUUUAAAGACUUUAUCUGCAGGUUAAACUCUCCUUACUGUCUGUGAGGGUUUUUGGAAACGUUUUGGAUCAUUUUUGAACCAGAACCAGAGAAUAGACCGUCACCUGUCACCCUGCGUCAGUGUCAGAGGACACUCCCUCACCUUGAUGCAGCUUCGUUCAUCUAACCCACCUCCCUGUUUCUCUGAAUCUAUUACCUGCCCGCUGAAAACCUUGAGUUUUGUUGAGUUAGCAGGAGUCGGCUGUUUUAAGCCCGAUACGGGAUGGGCUGUCAAGGUCUGGAGGUUCGUUAUCGUAACCAUCAGGGGAGUCAUUUUGUUUUUUUAUUUAUUUUAUUUAUUUUUUCUGGCCUGUGCAGGUACAUUAAACCUCUCUCACCCCUGAAGGUCGUGAACAAGGAUGCAGAUCAUUUAAGUCGCUUGUUUGCAGAUUGUUGCUGCACAGGAAUAUAUAUUUUUUUUGUCAUGGUGCCCACAGAGACAGAAACGGGCGACACAUUUUGUAAUAGGAGCGACAUCUACACACUGCUGUGAGCGUUCAUUAUGCAACUGUGAAGACAACAUCCUGCAGGAGUACGGAGCGAGUGCUGCGGCCGUUACGUUGAGGGAUUUCUUCACAGAAAGGUGUUUCCUGACGGCAGUUACCUGCAGAACAGAGAGCAUAGAUGUUGAUCAGAUAGAUUCACCUGCCGGGCUUCAGCAGGACGAGACCGCACCUUUAGAUCUAGACUGUUUGAUUUACUGCUGUGAAGUUUAGAGGUGAAGAAAGAGGAGAAAAUUUAAGAUCCUGAAAUAUCUAAGUGCUGUUUAGUGUGUGUGUGUGUGCGUGUGUGUGUGUGUGUGUGUGUGUGUGUGUGUGUGUGUGUGUGUGUGUGUGGUUGCCUGCACCUCUCUGGCCUUCCUGUUGCUGUCAGUGAAUAACCAACCGCCAAGCCGACACACAGCUCCAAGCAUGUCAGGUGCUGUUACAUCACACACACACACACACACACACACACACACACACACACACACACACACACACACACACACACACACACACACACACACACACACACACACACACACACACACACACACACACACACACACACACACACACACAGAUUUGUGCAGUGAAAGCGCUCCCAGAAAGGUAAUCAGCUGCAGACCUGAUUGCUCCCUUCAGCUGUUUUACUCUGUCCAGACGCCUCGAAUUACGGCGAUCAGCUCCUGCUGCAGGUCAGAGGAGAGGACAGGUGGAGGACGGGGGGUGAGGGGGUGAGAUGGGGGAGCACUUUUCUCUCCUCUGUUCCUGUUAGACCAGACCGAGUAAACACACUAGGAUAAAGCGGUUAAACAGAGCUUCGUAUUUACAGGUUUUAAGUUUUCUUCACUGCGAUACUGCGACUUCUGCUAAAGGCUAAACCGGCGGCGGCGGCGGUGACCUCCCGUCACUCAGCAUUAAACCCGAACAUAAAGCAUCAGAUCGAGCGCUCUACAGGGAACAGCCGGCCCAUGUUUCAUGUCUGUUUUCAUUUCUUUACUUGAUCAACGAGCCAUUCUUCCCCCGAAAAAAGUAUUUCUUUUUAAUUAUCUCAACUUUCCUCCCCGAGCUGUUCGCCUGUCAGCAACUUUAGCUCCGGCUCAUGCUCUGCUGAACAUCCCUCCGUCCCUCCCAGCAGCUCAGACCGGGCCGAGGCCUCGGACGUCUCUCUGAGGGGGCUGACAGCACUUUGUUUUCUCCCCGCCCCGACUCUGACUGCAGCUAAACUCCCUCCUGGGCUGAAAGGAGAGAAAGAAACUAAAAUAAACAAGCAGAGCUGUUUCUUCGCACUUUACAAGAAGUUAUGACAAGUUCUGGGUGUUAUAAGAUUUGUAAUUGAAUGUAGUUAAAACAUGAUAAUAUCUGAGGAAUUUCCACGAGACUAAACUAAGAAACAACCGUGAUCUCAUACCAAACCAAAAUCCUCUCUGUGAUGAUAAAAUAUCAGGAAUAUUUUUCUCUUUAGUAGAUUUACUUUCAGUGUUUUCUGUUAAAGGGUCUCAAAAUCAAAACACAUCCUGCAGAGGAUGACAACAGCAUGGCUCUGUAGUAGAAGAGUCCUCCUGAGAAACUGGAC
rnacentral:lncRNA from 1 species